CUUGGAAGUCAUAAACUAUGUCCUGAGAUUUCGUUUGAUAUUCUAUCUUGGUAGAUACAUGCUCAGUGAAGGGAGGUUGUUCUAGAUGUAAAACUUCUACUUAUCCGUGAUGCAUGAUCAGCGAAGGGAGGUGGUCCUCGGAGGUGGAACCUUACAAUUGUUCAUAUGGUGGAGAGUUAAAAUUUGAAAUGUAAAACUUCUACUUAACCAUGGUAGGUGCAACAUGUUGUAGCUGAACAGAUGAUCUUUAUCAGCAUUUUGUCAGAUGUGGUUUA